rnacentral:misc_RNA from 1 species
ACACCCAAAAACCCCGCCAAGAACCCAGCCACUUCCGUGAAACUGGUGUGCAGUUUCCCAAAAAUGGAUUCAGCACUUGGAAGUUUGCCGCCAAAUUCUGAAGAAACAAACUUUGCCAGAGGAGCACUUUUAAAAUUGAGAAAUUUUCUUUUGUUAGGAGCACGUGCAUUAUUUGUGUAUUUGUGUGAAGGUUAGGAUUCACUAAUCCAGACAUCAAGGGCUGUUUUGCACCAUUCGACGCCAUUAAGAGUCUUUGGAGACCUCCACUGCGAUUGACCUUCCUG